UGAAGUGGAAAAUAUUAAAUAUAUCAUAUAGUUGUAAAUAUGGUAUUUGGUAUAAAAAGUAUCUUGGAGUGUCAACAAGAGUAAUUUGUAUAUUGUAUUUCCACAUACAUUGUCAGUAUCUAGUGUUCAAGUGUGUUAUUACAUAAAUACUACAUAUCACAGAGUCUCCACAAAAAUACUUUGUAUCUCAAGCAUAGACACACCUUGGUACUUAAAACAUUCAGAGCUCAGGCCUAUAGGUGCAGGAGUAAUGUUUGGAAUUUUAGUAUGAUAUGAAUCAUGGUUUUCUAUUCUGAUUUUUAAAGACAUCAACUGGGGAUUCAGGGCAUUGUCAAAUAGAAUUGGGGCAUGGGCCCUGUGUGCCAAUGCCUAGGAAUGCUGGUGAGACCGUUGUCCAUUAAAAUUCUUUAUAUUCCAAGUGAGGCUGGUGUCCAUUAAAAUUCUUUAUAUUCCAAGUGAGGCUGGUGUCCAUUAAAAUACUUCAUAUUCCAGUUAAGGCUGAUGUCCAUUAAAAUACUUUAUAUCCCAGUUAAGGCUGGUAUCCAUUAAAAUACUUUAUAUCCUAGGUGAGGCUGGUGUCCAUUAAAAUACUUUAUAUCCCAGGUGAGGCUGGUGUCCAUUAAAAUACUUUAUAUCCCAGUUAAGGCUGGUAUCCAUUAAAAUACUUUAUAUCCCAGGUGAGGCUGGUGUCCAUUAAAAUACUUUAUAUCCCAGUUAAGGCUGGUGUCCAUUAAAAUACUUUAUAUCCCAAGUGAGGUUGGUAUCCAUUAAAACAGCUUUAUAUCUCAGGUGAGGCUGGUGUCAAUUAAAAUUCUUUAUAUCCCAGUUAAGGCUGGUGUCCAUGAAAAUACUUUAUAUCCCAGGUGAGGCUGGUGUCCAUUAAAAUACUUUAUAUCCCAGGUGAGGCUGGUGUCCAUGAAAAUACUUUAUAUCCCAGUUAUGGCUGGUGUCCAUGAAAAUACUUUAUAUCCCAGUUAAGGCUGGUGUCCAUUAAAAUACUUUAUAUCCCAGGUGAGGCUGGUGUCCAUUAAAAUACUUUAUAUCCCAGGUGAGGCUGGUGUCCAUUAAAAUACUUUAUAUCCCAGUUAAGG